rnacentral:rRNA from 1 species
UACGUAGGGCGCAAGCGUUGUCCGGAAUUAUUGGGCGUAAAGAGCUCGUAGGCGGCUUGUCACGUCGGUUGUGAAAGCCCGGGGCUUAACCCCGGGUCUGCAGUCGAUACGGGCAGGCUAGAGUGUGGUAGGGGAGAUCGGAAUUCCUGGUGUAGCGGUGAAAUGCGCAGAUAUCGGGAGGAACACCUGUGGCGAAGGCGGCUCUCUGGGACGGUACUGACGCUGAGGCGCGAAAGCGUGGGGAGCGAACAGG